UUUAUGGUUUUUCCCUGCUCGUUUUGUGGUCGCAAGAAAAACCCUAGCCCAUUCCCGUCCGCAUCCCUGCCGCCGCCGCCGCCCUCCCAGUUCCCUCUGCUCCUGCUGCUUCCCUCCACCUCUCCCUCCUCCAUGCCGUCAGGGGCGCCCCUCAAGCCCCACCUCAUCGGUUCCUCACCCCGGGCUCCUUCUCCCCCGCCCAUGCUGCUCUCUGUGCGCGGUGACCGGACAGAGGAGGAAGAUCAGGAGGGCCGCAGGGAUGAAGGAGGAGGUAGAGCCGUUCACGUCGCCGCCGCCGUCUUCCUCGCCCUCAGCAUGCGGGCCGCAGCGCUCCACCUCCUUGGCAUCUCCGUCUGGUCUGCAGAUGAUGAGAAAUAAGGGACGGGAGCAAGAUGUGAGGAUGUGGAGACGCUAUGUUGCCUCCAUCCCUGGCCUUCUUCUUGGCGUGUACUCGUUGGUCAUGCUCCGCUUCCUCCACUCCCACCUCUCGGCCUCGACACCUCUGCGUAUUUCUCCAUCACUCUCUUGCAGGUACUCACUCUACUCCUCCUCUGCUUUCAGUUAGUCUGCAAUUUUUUCAUCCUUGCUUAUGUAGGUUAUUGUUGAAAUCCAACAAGGCCACUGUGGAACUCAGUGAUUUGUUUCUCAAAUACGUCUGUGUUGUGUGAUUUGCUAUGCAAGCUAUAUAUGGAUAAAUUGCAGGGGAAAUAUAAUUGUGCUGGAUUGUUCGAGACAUCCAUCACAUAAUUUUCUCAGAUUUAGAACUCAUGCAGAUGUUGUUAUCUUUUCAGGUAUGUGCUGAGAAUCCUAGGUGCGGCGACCUCAACAAUGUCCCAUCGUUGCCGGCGGUCUCCUAUAUGCUCCUGCGGAAUAAGUUCUUCCUGACCACCUCGACACUCACCGCCACCGAGGAAUCCAGGGACAAGACUACCACCAAGUUGCUCAUCCGCCUUCAGGUGCAGACGGUGGGCUCUGCGUGGUCGAACCUAAGGUAGUUCCUUUCAAGGGCUAAUACCAAUGAGGUGUACCAGGUGCGCUGGCUCAUGCCACCGCAUCCACCGACAGCAAGGUGGAGAAUGAGGCGCUCAAGGAGAGGGAGACCAGGAUGGUGCUUGUGUCUAUACGGUGACAGCGUGGACCUCUUCUUCGCAGCGAGGACGAAGUUGCAUGUCCCAAAUCGUUAGGGGCUAGGCUGUUUCCGCGUCGAGGAGUUCAUUUUGGCAGACGGAACUUUUGAAAGCUAGAAUAUUUUGGUGAAAUGUGAAGGGCUGCUUCAGUUUACCCAUAGUGUUAUUUCUAGAUGAACAAGGAGUGGUGACAUUGUGAGAUGGUGAAGCCAGAGCAUUGUCGAUGAAACUAGCCGAGGAGGAAUUGUGAGUUCACCUCCCUCUCCUUUGCAUCGGUUGUAUUUUCUCUCCUCUUUGUGCCCAUAUAUGUUAUGUUUCCCCGGGUCGGUGUGAAGUGAGCACGCAGUUUGUCAUCGUUCAUCAAUCGUCCGUCCUGUUCGUCUUCACUUCGUUCGAUGUGCCUUUCCGUUGCGGAGGUGUGUUUUGUUAUUUUAUCUUGUUGCACUUGUUAAUAUGAAAUCACGUCUUAAAGGAUUCAGAAGGUUAUACUUCAGUUUAGUUAUUGUGUUCUUAAGAUUUCUAUACGAACUUUACUCCUUUCUACAAGACUAGCCAUCAAAUUAUGAUAACUGAACCAUUGAAAAACUAUAGAAGGAUUAGUGGCAAUAAAACCUUAGGUUAGUUCUACCCUUUAUUUUGUUAUAAUUUCUCUGUUCUGGUAAUGAAAAAGAUGACCACGCAGAUUAAAGGUUUAGAAACUAUAAAAGGAUCUGAACAUGAAGCUUAAUCUGCUGAAUUUUCACUUCAGUAGUCCCUCGGCUUCGAGAGUAUACACAAUAUUUGAUUGUUGCUUCUCAAUGAUGCUACCAAAAAUUGGACACCCUGGCGUCGGAGAGACGGACCAGGAGGCCGAGCAGUCCGUGGUGUCGCCGCCGUCGUCCUCAUCCCUCGUGCGUGGUGACGGAGAGAGGCGAUCCGUCUGGAGCUCGAGUAUAGUUGACCGCGUCUCUUUUCUUUCUCUUCUUUCGCACGUCUCUUUUUCUGUAGCUGUUUGAAGGCUUAUGAUGCAUGGUCACUGACUGUAUUGGAGAUGUAACAUGGUUUGUUAGGUUCAGCCAUUGUGCAAUCUGCACUAACAGGCAUGUGCCCAGCUAAGAGCAAUCUGUAGGAUAUAAUCUAGGAUUUGCUGCAAUUAUCUGCUUCAAUUUAUAGGUAUAAGUACUUCAAAUUCCUUCAAUGGUUGGGAGACAUAUGAAUUUGAUUACACUACUAUUUCAAUUACUGGAUGGUUAUUUUCAGUGUUAUUUAUGACCAUUACUGUACUUAAUAUGGUAUCAAGGUUACAGCCGAAUGUAUCUUGUACCAUACCACCCAUGGAUCUAAGUACAAAUAAUAAUGAGCAAUGAUUUCUCAGGCUAAAAAAAUUCUGCUAUCUCACUCAAGAGCAAUAAUAUACCCACUGAAGACUGACAGAAAACUGUAACCUUACUUUGAGUAGUGCAUCUCACAAUAACAGUUGUCCUCUCUUUUUACAUGUUUUAAAAAUCUGCAUAUUUUCUUGUAAUGAUUUCGGUAACAAAAUUGAAUGGCGCGGUGUAUGCUCACAUAUCCCCGCUCUUACAAGCUACCAUAAGGCAUGUUUCAGACUGUUAGUGUAUACUAUAUUGCUUACUCUGACAUUGGAUUUUGUGUUAACUGCUAUAUUAUAUAUUUUUGUUUCUUAGGAGCCGCCUCCUCUUUUACUGAUAAAAACUGGUCGGAGGGGAUCUGCUUUUUCCCCUGAUCUUCUCCGCGAUUGGGAGCCUGAGCCAUGGCUGACCCAUUCAUUGCUGUGCCUACCUCCUUGCCGGAUUUGGUGAUGAUGCCAAAGGAAACAAUGGGUUGUUGGGAUACCCGGAAUUAUCUUCUAUCAGCACUUGCAUUCAAAACCCAAACUGACCUUUAAUUUAAUGGAACGUACGUACAUUCACUGAUUUGUAUACUUAUUAGGUUGCCCAGAAGAACAUAGAUGUUGGUUUCAUAAUAUGUAUUUAUGGAUUGUAACCUACGUUUAUCAAUACGUCCAUUAUAUGCAUACGGCAAUUUUUAUUAAGGUGAUCUGGUGCUCUUCUUUUUCUUUCGACUUACGCGUGGUGGUUAUAAGCCAAGGAAUAGUGGAAGUGCAUCACAAUUCUCUCUUGUAUGAUCAACCAUGUACAUUACCUGAUAUCAUCUAAUGCACGUGGCUCAUUAUCGUGCAAAUGGCUCCAGCAAAACCUAAUAAAAAUGCUAAUCAGGCUCAAGGUGCAUGUUUUCCAACAAGUAGACUAAACAUGUUGGCAAGUAGAUACGCUAAAAAAAGCAUGUCGACAAGUAGAGAAAAAGGACUAGGAGGGACGAUUAAGUUCAACAAUACUUGACAUAUGCUCAUUUGUUUUUCUAAUAUGGUGCUAUGGUGGCGUUCAUUUGUCUGUUGUACCAUUUGGUCGUGUCGCUGUAUGAUGGCGUUCAAUUGUCUGAAUUUGGAUCGCGGUGCAGGUCUCGGCAGCACCCAAAUAUUCACACAUAUUGGUGAUAGUCUGAUAGGCCUUUUGGGAUUUGCAGUGUAUGUGGAUCUUGGCAGAGCAGAGUCACUUAACCCUGUGAGUCCAUUAUAUCAUGCAUGUAGUGAAUGCGUGCAUCCAGUCAGUGAAUAAUGGUUGUAACGAUAAGUUUGUGUAUUUGUUUUAUUGAUCAAUGUGUGCGCCGCACGCUGAGUAACCUAACUUCUGAAAGUUAUGGCUGUAGUUACAAGUAUGCACUAGCAUAUUGGUUUGUUUUCUGAUUCUGGUGGGAUUAUGUCUUCAUUGUAUUUCCCAACAUUUAUAACUGGUUACUCUGAAUUGGUUAAUUGCUUUGCAAAAUUUUCUGUGAUGAACUACGAUGAUGAAAGUUGUACUGGGUAAGUUAGUUUUCCUGAGAACUUACCAUGGGUCAAACUAGUAUUAAGUUAAUCAAGUUGUUUGAAAUGAUAUUAGCAGACAUGACUCGCUUCAUGUUGGUUCUGAAUUCUACUCAUUGUCAGUUCUCUUUUAGUCGUUUUGUUUCAGCGAGUGCCUACAAGGUAUCUGCGGAGGUUAACUGAAUUAUUUUCCCAUUUGAUGUGUGACAUCCGUAAAUAGCUACUAGAGAUAAUUACUAGAUUAUAUCACUAUGUUGAAGUUCUCUUAAAUUAUCAUGCUCUGUCCACGAGUUGGAUCACUUGUGUCUUCUGGAUAGUUGUUGCUUGAGUUUAAUUUUACAUUGUGCUUAUGAGAUGAUAGUUAUACCUUACAUGAGAUCCAUCAUUCAUAUUGUUGUUUCUUCAUACUAUUUCUGUUAAAAUCUACAUUUCUUCUGUACAUGAAGUCAAAUAGUCAAUAGUUGUUGGAUCAUUCAGGUUUUCCUUUUCUUUGUUGUACUAUAUGAAGUGCGUAUAUUUUUAAUCAUUACACUGAUUUUGCCGACAGUGCCGGCAUACAUGUCCCUUUCGUCAUUGCCAUCAUCCUAGCAUCUAGAGGUAGAUCAAACGUUCUAUAAAAGAUCCCAGGCCUCUUUUUCUCUCAUCAAAUUUGAGAACAUUUUUUUUAGGUCUGUCAUCUAUUAUUAUGGUCAUAAUUUGAUCUCUUGAUAGAAGUUAAAUGAAGGGGGAACACCUGUUUGGAGGAGGGAAACAAGUACAUAAUAUAUUUUUCUUUCCUUCAUUUGUGCCCUCUAAAUACUUGUCAUUUCUUUGGCAGGUUAGAGAGUAUCAAGGAUACAACAUCAUUUUGAAAAUCCGAAUUUGGCUAAUCCAUGUGUACUGGACCUGUUUUUGAAGUUGUUCUGUCUCAUUUUUGUGAAGUGAACAUGCUUUUGCUAGCUGAACUUUACAAAGAGCUUAGCCUCUUCAUCCAUCGUGCACUAGUCUCUCUCUCCACAUCAUCCUUUUCUUUGGUCUCUAGGUGGGGCUGUGCAUUUGAUUGGAUUUUGUGGUGGCCUGGUUGGGAAAAGGAAGGUGCAUCUAUUUUUGUUUGCUUCAGUUCUCCCUUUUGGAUUGAGUUGUUGCUAGCUUGCCAUGAAGUUCCUUUACUUGAUAAGAAAUUUUAGUUUGAAAUAUGUGGUCAUUGGGAGUUCAGAAAAGGUGGCAAGCAGGGAAGUCACUACUUUGUACUUGUAUUGUUUCCUUUUACCCAAGUGCCUUCAUAGGAUACUACAUAUUUUUCAGUUUUACAUCAUUCGUUGUUACUAAACCACAACAGUACUACGGACUUGCACGUACCAGUGCUUCAUAUAUGUCGUACUCUGACUGAUGAAAUAACAUCACAUAGUGCAUACAAGAAAGUGUAAAGGACGCUUACCUAAUUGGCACCGCCGAGUUUCCUCUCAGGAGGCGCCCCUGAGGGGCGCCUCAACCACUAGUUUGAGCAACAAAUGUAGCCUAAUAAUAAACCACCUAGUGUUGCUUCUGAAAUUAAACUGAAAAGUGCAUGUUUACUUGUCAUCAAAUCUGAUAUUGAUGAUUUAGAUUUUAGCAAAUCUAUUUGCAAUGCUUCUGUGUGUAAAGAGGCAUUAUUUUCAUUCGAGGACGUACUUUCCUUUUUGUCUCCUACUGUCACUAACAUUUUUCAGGAGUUUGCUGACAUCUUUUCAUAAGAUGUGCCGUCGGGAUUAUCACCUACUCAUGGGAUUGAGCAUCAAAUUGACUUAAUUCCCGGUGCACCAUUACACAACCGUGCACCAUACCGUACCAAUCCAGAGGUGACAAAGUAGAUUAUGCGUCAAGUACAAGAACUGCUCGACAAAGGUUAUAUACGUGAAUCCCUUAAUCCUUAUGCUGUUUCUAUCAUUUUAGUGCUGAAAAAGGAUGGUACGUCGCGUAUGUGCGUUGAUUUUAGAUGCAUUAAUAAUAUUACUAUUCGUUAUCGUCAUCCUAUUCCUAGGCUAGAUGAUAUGCUUGAUGAAUUGAGUGGCUCUACAAUAUUCUUCAAAGUUGAUUUGCGUAGUGGAUACCAUCAAAUUUGUAUGAAAUUGGGAGAUGAAUGGAAAACUGCAUUUAAAACUAAGUUUGGUUUAUAUGAGUGGUUAGUCAUGCCUUUUGGAUUAACUAAUGCAUUUAGUACUUUCAUGAGGUUAAUGAUGAAGUUUUACGUGCUUUCAUUAGACGAUUUAUGGUAGUUUACUUUGAUGACAUAUUGAUUUAUAGCAAAUCUUUGGAGAAACAUUUGAAACAUUUACGUGCUGUUUUUAUUGCUCUACGUGAUGCAUGUUUGUUUGGUAACCUUGGAAAGUGUACCUUUUGCAUCGAACGAGUAUAUUUUCUUGUCUAUGUUGUUACUCCACAGGGAAUUGAAGUUGAUAAAGUCAAGAUUGAAGCUAUUGAGAGUUGGCGGCAGCCCAAAACGGUCACACAAGUGAGGAGUUUCCUUGACCUCGCUGGUUUCUAUAGGCGUUUUGUGAGAGAUUUCAGCACCAUUGCUGCACCUCUCAACGAGCUUACAAAGAAGGACGUGCUUUUUGUUUGGGGUACCGCACAGGAAGAGCAUUCACGGUAGCUCCAUUCGUCUUUUGUUAUUGCAGGAGGCGCAUGGAGGAGGAUUAAUGGGACACUUUGGCGUUAAGAAGACGGAGGAUAUACUUGCUACAUAUUUCUUUUGGCCAAAGAUGAGAUGGGAUGUUGAGCGUUUUGUUGCUCGCUGC